UGAAUUGUAGUUCUCACAAUCCCAUGUGUCA
rnacentral:piRNA from 1 species